rnacentral:rRNA from 1 species
UACGGAGGGUGCAAGCGUUAUCCGGAUUCACUGGGUUUAAAGGGUGCGUAGGUGGGUUGAUAAGUCGGUGGUGAAAUCUCCGGGCUUAACUCGGAACUGCCGUUGAUACUAUCAGUCUUGAAUAUUGUGGAGGUAAGCGGAAUAUGUCAUGUAGCGGUGAAAUGCUUAGAUAUGACAUAGAACACCGAUAGCGAAGGCAGCUUGCUACACAAUUAUUGACACUGAGGCACGAAAGCGUGGGGAUCAAACAGG